UACAGAGGUCUCAAGCGUUGUUCGGAUUCAUUGGGCGUAAAGGGUGCGUAGGUGGUGGGGUAAGUCGGAUGUGAAAUCCCGGGGCUCAACCCCGGAACUGCAUUCGAUACUGCCUUGCUCGAGUACUGGAGAGGAGACUGGAAUUUACGGUGUAGCAGUGAAAUGCGUAGAUAUCGUAAGGAAGACCAGUGGCGAAGGCGGGUCUCUGGACAGUUCCUGACGCUGAGGCACGAAGGUCAGGGGAGCAAACGGGA
rnacentral:rRNA from 1 species